UUUGGUUAAGUUAGAAAGGGCGCACGGUGGAUGCCUUGACACUAGGAGUCGAUGAAGGACGGGACUAACGCCGAUAUGCUUCGGGGAGCUGUAAGUAAGCUUUGAUCCGAAGAUUUCCGAAUGGGGAAACCCACUAUACGUAAUGGUAUGGUAUCCUUACCUGAAUACAUAGGGUAUGGAAGACAGACCCAGGGAACUGAAACAUCUAAGUACCUGGAGGAAGAGAAAGCAAAUGCGAUUUCCUGAGUAGCGGCGAGCGAAACGGAACAUAGCCCAAACCAAGAGGCUUGCCUCUUGGGGUUGUAGGACAUUCUAUACGGAGUUACAAAGGAACGAGGUAGACGAAGCGACCUGGAAAGGUCCGUCGUAGAGGGUAACAACCCCGUAGUCGAAACUUCGUUCUCUCUUGAAUGUAUCCUGAGUACGGCGGAACACGUGAAAUUCCGUCGGAAUCUGGGAGGACCAUCUCCCAAGGCUAAAUACUCCCUAGUGAUCGAUAGUGAACCAGUACCGUGAGGGAAAGGUGAAAAGCACCCCGGAAGGGGAGUGAAAGAGAUCCUGAAACCGUGUGCCUACAAAUAGUCAGAGCCCGUUAAUGGGUGAUGGCGUGCCUUUUGUAGAAUGAACCGGCGAGUUACGAUCCCGUGCAAGGUUAAGCUGAAGAGGCGGAGCCGCAGCGAAAGCGAGUCUGAAUAGGGCGUUUAGUACGUGGUCGUAGACCCGAAACCAGGUGAUCUACCCAUGUCCAGGGUGAAGUUCAGGUAACACUGAAUGGAGGCCCGAACCCACGCACGUUGAAAAGUGCGGGGAUGAGGUGUGGGUAGCGGAGAAAUUCCAAUCGAACCUGGAGAUAGCUGGUUCUCCCCGAAAUAGCUUUAGGGCUAGCCUUAAGUGUAAGAGUCUUGGAGGUAGAGCACUGAUUGAACUAGGGGUCCUCAUCGGAUUACCGAAUUCAGUCAAACUCCGAAUGCCAAUGACUUAUCCUUAGGAGUCAGACUGCGAGUGAUAAGAUCCGUAGUCAAGAG
rnacentral:rRNA from 1 species